GCCAUGCCGCGUGUGUGAAGAAGGCCUUUUGGUUGUAAAGCACUUUAAGCGAGGAGGAGGCUUACCUAGUUAAUACCUGGGAUAAGUGGACGUUACUCGCAGAAUAAGCACCGGCUAACUCUGUGCCAGCAGCCGCGGUAAUACAGAGGGUGCGAGCGUUAAUCGGAUUUACUGGGCGUAAAGCGUGCGUAGGCGGCUUUUUAAGUCGGAUGUGAAAUCCCCGAGCUUAACUUGGGAAUUGCAUUCGAUACUGGGAAGCUAGAGUAUGGGAGAGGAUGGUAGAAUUCCAGGUGUAGCGGUGAAAUGCGUAGAGAUCUGGAGGAAUACCGAUGGCGAAGGCAGCCAUCUGGCCUAAUACUGACGCUGAGGUACGAAAGCAUGGGGAGCAAACAGGAUUAGAUACCCUGGUAGUCCAUGCCGUAAACGAUGUCUACUAGCCGUUGGGGCCUUUGAGGCUUUAGUGGCGCAGCUAACGCGAUAAGUAGACCGCCUGGGGAG
rnacentral:rRNA from 1 species